GAUGAACGCCGGCGGCGUGCCUAAUACAUGCAAGUCGAGCGAAUGGAUUAAGAGCUUGCUCUUAUGAAGUUAGCGGCGGACGGGUGAGUAACACGUGGGUAACCUGCCCAUAAGACUGGGAUAACUCCGGGAAACCGGAGCUAAUACCGGAUAACAUUUUGAACCGCAUGGUUCGAAAUUGAAAGGCGGCUUCGGCUGUCACUUAUGGAUGGACCCGCGUCGCAUUAGCUAGUUGGUGAGGUAACGGCUCACCAAGGCAACGAUGCGUAGCCGACCUGAGAGGGUGAUCGGCCACACUGGGACUGAGACACGGCCCAGACUCCUACGGGAGGCAGCAGUAGGGAAUCUUCCGCAAUGGACGAAAGUCUGACGGAGCAACGCCGCGUGAGUGAUGAAGGCUUUCGGGUCAUAAAACUCUGUUGUUAGGGAAGAACAAGUGCUAGUUGAAUAAGCUGGCACCUUGACGGUACCUAACCAGAAAGCCACGGCUAACUACGUGCCAGCCGCCGCAGUAA
rnacentral:rRNA from 1 species